rnacentral:rRNA from 1 species
UACGAGGGGGGCGAGCGUUGUUCGGAAUUAUUGGGCGUAAAGGGCGCGUAGGCGGCUCGGAUAAGUCUUGAUGUGGAAAUCUUCGGGCUCAACUCGAAGUCUGCACAGGAAACUAUCUGGCUUGAGUGUGGGAGAGGUGAGUGGAAUUCCUGGUGUAGACGGUGAAAUGCGUAGAUAUCAGGAGGAACACCUGUGGCGAAAGCGGCUCACUGGGACCACAACUGACGCUGAGGCGCGAAAGCUAGGGGAGCAAACAGG